ensembl:lncRNA
CUUUUGGUGGGAGCAUUUAGUCCAUUUACAUUUAAGGUAAUUAUCAAUAUGUAUGUUCCUAUUCCCAUUUUCUAAAUUGCUUUGGGAUCAUUAUUGUAGGUCUUUUCGUUCUCUUGUGUUUCCUGCCUAGAGAAGUUCCUUUAGCAUUUGUUGUAACGCUGGUUUGGUGGUGCUGAACUCUCAGCUUUUGCUUGUCUGUAAAGGUUUUAAUUUCUCCAUCAAAUCUGAAUGAGAUCCUUGCUGGGUAGAGUAAUCUUGGUUGCAGGUUUUUCUCCUUCAUCACUUUAAAUAUGUCCUGCCACUCCCUUUUGGCUUGCAGAGUUUCUCCUGAAAGAUCAGCUGUUAACCUUAUGGGGAUUCCCUUGUGUGUUAUUUGUUGUUUUUCCCUUGCUGCUUUUAAUAUACUUUCUUUGUAUUUAAUUUUUGACAGUUUGAUUAAUACGUGUCUUGGUGUGUUUCUCCUUGGAUUUAUCCUGUAUGGGACUCUCUGUGCUUCCUGGACUUGAUUAACUAUUUCCUUUCCCAUAUUAGGGAAGUUUUCAACUAUAAUCUCUUCAAAUAUUUUCUCAGUCCCUUUCUUUUUCUCUUCUUCUUCUGGAACCCCUAUAAUUCGCAUGUUGGUGUGUUUAAUGUUGUCCCAGAGGUCUCUGAGACUGUCUUCAGUUCUUUCCAUUCUUUUUUCUUUAUUCUGCUCUGCAGUAGUUAUUUUCACUAUUUUAUCUUCGAGGUCACUUAUCCUUUCUUCUGCCUCAGUUAUUCUGCUGUUAUUGAUUCCAUCUAGAGUAUUUUUAAUUUCAUUUAUUGUGUUGUUCAUCGUUGCUUGUUUCAUCUUUAGUUCUUCUAGGUCCUUGUUAAAUGUUUCUUGCAUUUUGUCUAUUUCCAAGAUUUUGGAUCAUCUUUACUAUCAUUAUUCUGAAUUCUUUUUCAGGUAGACUGCCUAUUUCCUCUUCAUUUGUUAGGUCUGGUGGGUUUUUAUUUUGCUCCUUCAUCUGCGGUGUUUUUCUGUCUUCUCAUUUUGCUUAUCUUACUGUGUUUGGGGUCUCCUUUUUGCAGGCUGCAGGUUUGUAGUUCCCGUUGUUUUUGAUGUCUGUCUCCAGUGGCUAAGGUUGGUUCAGUGGGUUGUGUAGGCUUCCUGGUGGAGGGGACUAGUGCCUGUGUUGUGGUGGAUGAGGCUGGAUCUUGUCUCUCUAGUGGGCAGGUCCACGUCUGGUGGUGUGUUUUGGGGUGUCUGUGGACUUAUUAUGAUUUUAGGCAGCCUUUCUGCUAAUGGGUGGGGUUGUUUUCCUGUUUUGCUAGUUGUUUGGCAUAGGAUGUCCAGCACUGUAGCUUGCUGGUCGUUGAGUGAAGCUGGGUGCUGGUGUUGAGAUGGAGAUCUCUGGGAGAUGUUCGCCGUUUGAUAUUAUGUGGAGCUGGGAGGUCUCUUGUUGACCAGUGUCCUGAAGUUGGCUCUCCCACCUCAGAGGCAGAGCCCUGACUCCUGGCUGCAGCACCAAGAGCCUUUCAUCCACACGGCUCAGAAUAAAAGGGAGAAAAAGUAGAGAGAGUUAGUAGAAGUAGGAAGAAAGAAAGAAAGGAGGGAAGGAAGGAAGGAA